rnacentral:rRNA from 1 species
CGGGAAGAGCUCAAAUUUGUAAUCUGGCACUUUCAGUGUCCGAGUUGUAAUCUCGAGAAGUAUUUUCCGCGCCGGACUGCAUACAAGUCUGUUGGAAUACAGCGUCAUAGUGGUGAGAACCCCGUAACUGAUGCAGAUGCCCGGUGCUUUGUGAUAUACUUUCGAAGAGUCGAGUUGUUUGGGAAUGCAGCUCAAAUUGGGUGGUAAAUUCCAUCUAAAGCUAAAUAUUGGAGCAAGACCGAUAGCGAACAAGUACCGUGAGGGAAAGAUGAAAAGCACUUUGGAAAGAGAGUUAACAGUACGUGAAAUUGUUGGAAGGGAAACGCUUGAAGUCAGACUUGCUAUUCGGAGUUCAGCCGCAAGGUGUAUUCUUCGAUUUGCAGGCCAGCAUCAGUUUUCGGGGGUGGAAAAUCGUGGUUUGAAGGUAGCAACUUCGGUUGUGUUAUAGCU